rnacentral:rRNA from 1 species
CCUGGAGCUCAGCUCCAGAAUUGCCUUUAAGACUGCAUCGCUUGAAUCCAGGAGAGAUGAGUGGAAUUCCGAGUGUAGAGGUGAAAUUCGUAGAUAUUCGGAAGAACACCAGUGGCGAAGGCGUCUCACUGGACUGGUAUUGACGCUGAGGUGCGAAAGCGUGGGGAGCAAACAGGAUUAAUACCCUGGUAGUCAAGGGCGAAUUCG